rnacentral:lncRNA from 1 species
GGAAAAUACCAUGGUAUUGUCAUUUCUUUUAGUGUGGAAAAAAAGAUGUAAAUAAGGGACCCUUAAUUUUGGCAAUGUCCAGAUUCCAGAAAGAGAGGAAAGAAAGUUACCUCCCAAGUGUUUAGAUAUACUGGUAUGGAAUUGGGUUCCUGUAAGUUGUGAAGAAAAGUCGAGAUAUUUUAUUAAAGCAUAGGGCUUCUCAUAUACAAAUUCUCUCUACAGUCUUUUCUGAGUUCAUUGAAUUGUUGAGGUUUCUGGUUGACUCUUCAGAAACAAGCAGCUCAUCUCCUCAAAUGGAUUCCACUGUCUUAAAGCUGUAAACAUGUAAAAGACAGCCUUGUAUUCUACACUGCAAUGCCUGUGGCAGUAAAGAAAACCAACAAAGGCCUUUUGCCAACAACCAUGCAGCUGUAUGAAUAAUUCUCAUUCUCAACUUGUCCAAACUGGCCAACAUUCUGUCUUUGCUGAGCAUGAGUAUAAAAUGCCUUUAUGUUUUUUUUUCUUCUCAUUAAAGAUAUACUUUGGGGCUACAAAUUUCACUUCCUUGAUCCAUCACAGGGAUAAAUGCUCUUUUGCCUGAAAUCCAUUUAAGCAAAGAAAUAUGAUGCCAAGGAUGUCCCUCAAAAUAGCAGUAUUCCUAAGAGGUGGAAAAGUGAGGAAUGGUAAUAAGCUACUCAUCCCUCAGGAUAUAUAGCUUCAGGGAGAAUGGAAUAAUGCACCAAUGAAGCCAAGGGUGAAUAUUGGCCAGAACCACUGUCCAGAAAAAUUGGACUUGAAGCAAAAAUGCAGUCACCCAGUGAAACACAGCUCCAAAUGCCAGGCUUCCUACUGCUCCAAUUUCUCCAGGAAGACUGAGCCUUCUUGGUAAGCCCAGCUCACCAGCCUGGAGCUCUUUAGUGGAUAUAGAUGAAACAUAUUUCCUUCCCCUAUGAGUUGAAAUUAUAAUAAUUACAGUCAUAAAAUCUCUCAGGACUAAUUAGGGCACCAUCUUGAGUUGAUUGCUACUACCUGCAGGAUAAGAAGGCUCACGUAUUUGGACUCCUAUUUAGUCUAUAAACUGAGGCUCAAUGCAUUCAGUCUUAUAUAACAAUUAGAAAUAAUAAGGAUAAAAGUGUAAAAUUGCACCCAUGCUCCUAUAGUACUUAAUUUGAUACUUAAUAUGCUGAAAACACAGCUAUUAUUGAUGGAGAUCCCUACAGGGCAGGCAGGCUGCCCUCCUUAAUGAGAUUUGAGUCUUUAUAACUACACUCUGUCCAGUUCCUUUCUACCCAUCAGAGAGGGAUCAUCUGAGUUUCAAUUACAAAAGUGCCUAAGGGUACCUUCUUUGUAAUUGCUGGUAUUUUUUUAAUACACCUGUCUCUUAUUUUCCUGAAGUCUUUAGAAACAGGUUGAGUCUGUCUAGAUGAAGCUAAAUGGUGAAAAGUCACGGACCACGAGAAUUCCACAGUCCACGAGCCAGACCACUGGGCAGUUACUUGGUCAGCCCUUAAUCCUCAUAGAAUCCAGUCUAUGCUAGAUGGAGGCACCCUAUAACUAGCUUCACAAAUGUCAGGCUUUACCCAUGACCAUAUAUGACAAUGACCUAGAGCUCAGAUGACCCAGACAUUCUCAAACUUGAGCAAGUCUCAUAAUUACUUGGAAGACUUUUAAAAACACAAAUUGCUGGCCCUACCCCCAGAGUUUCUGAUUCCAUAAGUCAAAGAAUUUGAAUUUCUAACAAUUCCCAAGUGAUGCUGAUGGAGUUGGUUCAAGGCUGACUCUUAGAAAUACGGAUUUAGGUAAUGAAAUGUUGUGCUGAUUACACUCCUCCUCUAAUAUUUUAAAGGUCACAUUUAAUCCAAUUAUCCUUCUCUUUCUUCAGACAGACUCUCCACUGCUGGUCCGACCAUAUUUACCAUAUAUCACCAGGUCAGAACUCCAUGCCAUCAUGACUGCUGGCUUUGCUACAAUUGCUGGAAGUGUCUUGGGUGCAUACAUUUCUUUUGGAGUAAGACUGUUUUGGAAUUAACUUAUGCAAAUUUCAACCUCUUCUUUCUUUGAUAUUGUUAUUUAUUUGGUUUUUCCUUCGUUUUUUCUUUUCUUUUUUCUUUCCCAUUGCCAGUGUAAAAGGAAGCCAAGAGAGUGCCUUUUUUGUAGUAUGGCAAAAGUUAGUCAGUUUUCUUUGGCAUUUGAAUAUAGUGACCCAAGGAGUUUGGGGUCUUCACUUUCAUGUUCUUGCCUCCUAAAUGUGAAUUAUUUCCAACCACAGCAAUAGAAAUCAUAUGAUGAGGUUACUUUGACUAGAAGUUUAAGUCUGUUUUUUAAAAAAAAUAAAAACUAUUACUACUACUAGUAAAGAUUUUAACAGGGGUCAGCCAACUAUGGAUGAUUGGCCAAAUCCAGAGCAUAACUUAUUUUUAUAAAUAAAGUUUUAUUAGAAACCAGGUACUCCUAUUUAUUUGUCUUUGGCAUAGUUGUGGCCUGCAAAACCACAAUUAUCUACUCUAUGACCUUUUCAAAACAGAUUUUUGGAACCUUGACCUACAGCAGUUGUUCUCAAACCUUACUGCACAUUAGAAUCACCUAUAAAUUUUCAAAGACCCUAAUUCCCAGGCCCAUAGCCCUGGUUAACUAAACAAAAUUUGUUGGGGUGAGGCCCAGCCAUCAGUAUUUUUAAAACUUCUCAGAUUUCAACUGAAAGCCAUAAGCUAGUGGCCUAUGGUGUAGGUCUGGAGAAUGCUGUGAUAGCCAAUAUUGUGCUCUGUGCAUAGGCUGAUAAGCCACACAUUGACAUAGACCUUGGCAGAGAAACCUAAUCGUACAAGCAAUACUCUGUGAUUCGGGUGACUAGGAUCUCUUGCAAGACAAGUGAGUUUCAUUCCAGAUUCUUCAUUCAAGCUGGGGACAGCCAACUAGUAGAAAGAAGGAAGAAGAAAAAAGUGAAGGAUAUAUUAGAGAUAAGCAAUAUGAAUGGAUCCCUAGAUUAUUCACUCUGCCCCUACUGUGGGAAUGCUGCCUUUAAAAAUGGGCUAGGUCAGCUAUCCCAUUCCUUGGUAUUUAUCUUAAAGAACUGAAAUCAGAAUAUUAUAUAUAUAUAUAUAUAUAUAUAUAUAUAUAUAUAUAUAUAUAUAUAUAUCACUCACAAUGGAGUUCUACUCAGCCAUAAAGAAAAAUGAAAUUGUGUAAUUUGCUGGUAAAUGUAUGAAACUGGAGAAUAUCAUGAUAAGUGAAAUAAGUCAGACUCAGAAAGUCAAGGAUUGAAUGUUUACUUUCAUAUGUGGAAGAUACAGAGAAAAAUAAAUCAAUAAAUAAGGCUCUCAUGAAAAUGAAGAGAGACCAAAGGAAUAGAGGGCAAGGGAAGUAAAGGGCAAGGGAAGGUACUAGGGAAUGAUGUCAAAUUAUGUCAUGUCCAUCUACAAAUGUACCACAAUGAAACCCACUUUAUGUAUAAUUAUAGUGCACUAAUUUAAAAAUAAUAAUAAUAGAAGGAAUAUCUGUAGAGAAGAUGGAG